UACAGAGGGUGCAAGCGUUGUUCGGAAUUAUUGGGCGUAAAGCGCGUGUAGGCGGCUUUGCAAGUCGGGUGUGAAAGCCCUCGGCUUAACCGAGGAAGUGCGCCCGAAACUGCAGAGCUUGAGUACCGGAGAGGAUGGCGGAAUUCCCCAAGUAGAGGUGAAAUGCGUAGAGAUCGGCAGGAACACCCAGGGGGAAACCAGUCGACUGGGCAGCACCUGACGCUGAGGUGCGAGAGCGUGGGGAGCGAACCGG
rnacentral:rRNA from 1 species